UAGCGCUCUACCACUCUCUUCUGUAUUGCACAGAAGUGGAAGAAUUGCCAUAGCAUAGCAUUUCAGUCACCUGGAAAAACUGCAACACAAAACUCUCCUCAUCCUUUUUCAUUGGGAAGGUGAAAACAAGGAGAGGUCAUUUUAGUUAUUUCAAAGUUUUUUAAACGUUUCACUCCAGGGGUGUGAGCCAAAGUGAUAGACUGUCUUUGGAUUGAAGGUUUGAAAUAUUCAUUUAACACUUAAUUUGGACAUGACCAAUUGAAUUCCACUCUAUUCAGUUAUAGACUGAGAUUGUGUAGUCACGUAGUAGUUAAGAUAGGCUUAUGUGUAGCUUGUGAUGGAGAACUUGCGAUGUAAGUGAGUAACUACACAGCAAAAAGUUAAAAUUCAGGGUUAAACAUUUCAGGUUGAUUUCCACUACCCAAGGUGCAAUUUUAACACAUUCAGAUUUAAAUGGCAUUCAGUGUUGGAGUUAUUUGACAGAGUUGAUCGGAUCAGUGUUAACCCAUCGCUGCAGAGAUGCAAUUAAACUCCAGCCACGCAUUUCACUUCUUCGGUUGGAGACAAGGAGACACAUCAGCAGCAUUUUCCUCCUCUUCUGCAGUUUAUGCGGUAAGUGUAAUACAUUCAGUCUUACUGAGACACUUAUAAAUUGAUGCUGUGAAAUGCUGUUCGUACAAUGAAAUACCUACAGAGAAUAUAAGCUUUACAAAGCCUUGUCUGUUGCCAGGACUGAACAGCAAAUGUGUGGAGGUGAUUAGCUAGCUAACUAACUAUUAGUUACCGUUUUCAGCUUUAUCAGUGAUGAUUUACCAACUCACAUGCAAGCUCUAAGUGAUGAAAAUAAAGCUUUGUUUUCUACUAGUGUUGGGUGGUGUCCCCUUUUUGUAAAACCUUAAAAACCAUCUCAAAAAAUGACUGCGGUUUAUGAUAUUGCCAUCUAUUGAUGCGGUCUGUAGAUAUCAUCUAUUGAACAACUGUGAUAAAUGUUAAACAGUGCUGCUAACUACGAGAGUGGAGCUGGUUAGUGUUAGCUUUGCAAGCAUGCUAACAGCUCUGACCAUUACAGAACAUGUUCUAUUAAGGCCAGCUAAAGCACUGACACAAGUUUAGAUGAUCAAAAAAAAAGAUUAAAAUCUGAGAGAGUGAAAUCGAGCAACAGCUGAAGGGACAAAAAGGCAAAAUUAAACCUGUUCUUGGUGUUUGGAUCUGUAGCCUGUAGCUACCUUAACGUUAGCUUUGUGGGCAGGCUACAGACCCAAAUAGUACAGGCUUGAUUUUGGAAAUUGGUGCUAUGUUGACACAAAUUUAGAUGAUAAAAAUGUUUGAGACUAAAGCAAUCAAAGAAAAGUAUGCUCUUGGGGUAGUGACGCUGUUCCCUUCCCUCAAGGGUUCAUAUUCCAAGAGAGGCUGUGUAAUAAUCAUUAUUGUUUGCAUGAUGCCUUAAUGUCAUACUUUAUGCAUGUUGCAACACGAAGCCGUGUGCAUGACACUGAGACUUGAAUUCUCUGAGAUUUGUUGUGAGCUGAAGAUGACAAUAUAUUUUUUUUCCAUUUCAGGAACAUUUCAAUGGUGCUGCAAGCAACACAGGAUACAUUGCCUAGCAUCUGAAAACAGUCCAAGGAAGAUUCAUCGAGGAUCUGCACUGCCACCAAAUAGCCGUAUUGGCUUUUCUCCAGGAGGCCCAAAUUUCCAAAGGACUGUUAAUGUUGAAAGGCAGCUUGAAGGGGUUGCCUGCCAUGUCUUUGCUCAACCAUACCACAGACAAUUCCCUGAUUUUUCAGAAGAUGAGAGAGACCUUUCAGCUCCAUCAAAAGCUAGUUAAUGACCCAGGUAGAAGUUCUGGUGUCCUCUCCACUUUCCCAAGAUUUCUGGGUACAAAAGGAUUGGUGGAUAAAGACUUGAUUCUCCUAUUUGAUGACACGUCCUUCAGGGUGCUUCAGAAAUGGGACGUGUUCUUCAAGCCAAAUGACGUAAAAGAGUCUUAAGUGGCUCACUUUAACACUGCGUCACUUGUAAGUCAGCAGAAAGUCCACCAGGAAGUAAUCUUGAUGAGGCAACAAUGUCCUUAUCUUGACGCUAGUCAUGCGGCAGUUUGGAAGAGCAUCUGCGCAACCAGCAUGGUCAGCAGCUGUACCUUCUUGCUGUUGGGCUUCAGAAGAGCAAGAUUGACAGCUUCUGUAUCACCAUGGAUAAGCAUCUCAUCCCAUGCCAGGCAGACCGCUCCCUUGGGGCAUUCGAUGAACUUUUCAAAGCAUGUUUUGUGCUUAAUUUGUCUUGCGAUGGUGCACUAGUGAACAGAAGAAGACAUACCUGUUUUUUGUCAAAUUUGUGAUAUACUUUUGGUUGAAGAUCAUGUUUUUGAAUUUUGAUUACCAUCAUCACACAUUCAGAGUAUCACAAAGUGAGGAAAGGGGUGUUAAUAAAAUAUCUGAGCUCAAAUUUCAUAAACCGUUUUAUAAUCGAAGUUCAUAUGAUGUUGAAAAAUGAAAGUUUAUACAUAAUACCUUCAUUCACAAUGUUUUAGUUCAACUGUAUGAAUGACUGCAAGGGAGAAAAGGCAAAAAUAAACGUUAUUUUUGAAAA